GCCUCACCGUGUCUACCUACUAUCGUUGCUUUGGCGCGUCGUCUAACGACCCUGGGCCCCGGCCUGGGUGUGCGCGCCGGAGGACCCAACUCUGAAUAUUAGUGAUGUCUGAGUACUAUAUAAUAGUUAAAACUUUCAACAACGGAUCUCUUGGUUCUGGCAUCGAUGAGGAACGCAGCGAAAUGCGAUAAGUAAUGUGAAUUGCAGAAUUCAGUGAAUCAUCGAAUCUUUGAACGCACAUUGCGCCCCGCGGUAUUCCGCGGGGCAUGCCUGUUCGAGCGUCAUUUAGACCAAUCACGCCUGGCGUGGUGUUGGGGCACGCGGUUCCGCGGCCCUCAAAAUCAGUGGCGGCGCCGGCAGGCUCUAAGCGUAGUAAUACUCCUCGCUAUAGAGUCCUGCGGGUAGCUCGCCAAAACCCCCCAUUUUCAAGGUUGACCUCGGAUCAGGUAGGGAUACCCGCUGAACUUAAGCAUAUCAAUA
rnacentral:rRNA from 1 species